rnacentral:piRNA from 1 species
UAAUCUCAUUACAAAGUGGGCUAAGGAC